UAAUACGGGAGGCAGCAGUGGGGAAUAUUGCACAAUGGGCGCAAGCCUGAUGCAGCCAUGCCGCGUGUAUGAAGAAGGCCUUCGGGUUGUAAAGUACUUUCAGCAGUGAGGAAGGUAGUAGUGUUAAUAGCACUAUUAUUUGACGUUAGCUGCAGAAGAAGCACCGGCUAACUCCGUGCCAGCAGCCGCGGUAAUACGGAGGGUGCGAGCGUUAAUCGGAAUUACUGGGCGUAAAGCGCAUGCAGGUGGAUGAUUAAGUCAGAUGUGAAAGCCCGGGGCUCAACCUCGGAAUAGCAUUUGAAACUGGUCAUCUAGAGUACUGUAGAGGGGGGUAGAAUUUCAGGUGUAGCGGUGAAAUGCGUAGAGAUCUGAAGGAAUACCGGUGGCGAAGGCGGCCCCCUGGACAGAUACUGACACUCAGAUGCGAAAGCGUGNGGAGCAAACAGGAUUAGAUACCCUGGUAGUCCACGCCGUAAACGAUGUCUACUUGGAGGUUGUGGCCUUGAGCCGUGGCUUUCGGAGCU
rnacentral:rRNA from 1 species